GGUUUUAGCGGCUUUAAAUAGCGGUCUUGAAAACCGUCGACUGUAACAGGUCCAUGAGUUCGAAUCCCAUCGCCUCCGCCA
rnacentral:tRNA from 1 species